rnacentral:lncRNA from 1 species
UUUAGGGUUUUGGUUUUUAGGGUUUAGAAAAAAAAAUAGGUGGGCUAUUGGCUCUAGGGUUAGAACAAAGUGCAUGAUAACGUGAUAAAGAAUAAAGUGUAGAGACAAAGAGAUAGCAAGAGAGUCAUCUUAUUCAUUGAUAGGAGCCCUUUAUAUAGGGAAUUACACAAUACCAAUAUGGUAAGGAUAUGAAUACAUAGAUCUAGUCUAACUACAUAUCCUAUUGGCAUAAGGCCAAGGCACACAUAGAGAAUAUCCUAGAACAGGUUUCUUUUUGUUUGAUUUUUGAGUAUAAGAAAAUUUUGAGAAUCUGCAAGUCAAAAAUAAUAGAGCAUCCAGAGCACUAAAGUGCUAAACGUCAAGAUAUGAAACAAGCGAUCCAACAACAUAUAUGGGUAACAUAACAUCGUGUAGCCAUUGUUAGAAAGCUUCAUCAUUGAUCGUCCUCCUAUUCUUUGUCGAAUUAUAGACCUGCGAAGCACACCAAAAAGCAUGAGGAAGAACAAAAAUGUGAUGAUACAAUACUCGUGUAGUGUACCACUAAGUGUGAGUUCAUAUGACUAAAAGGAGAGAAGCAAAUUCCAUUUUUGUUCAGAGUUUUCUGAUUGCCAUAGGAGUACUACCGGUUUAGUGCACACACAAGGUUUCCUAUGCAAGAGACAUGAUGCAGGCGCCCCAGCCACAAUAGGGUCGUGGGCGACGGCGCCAUCUCUCCUGCGUAGCGAACCUCUCGAUGCUUUACUCUUCUUCUUCUGCUCUUCUAAGAGGUGUUCCCCAGCUGCUUCUUAGUUCUUACUACAGAACAUGUAAAAAUGUCUUCAUAUAAAUAGGGACUCUAAGUAAUAUCCUAGUUUAUAUAUCCAGACUGGCUCCAGCCAUGUAUAUGUAGGCUAUAUCUGGUACUGGAUUAUCAGUCAUGUCGAUUCUCUGUUUAAUAUAUGUUCCAGCCACAAGCAUGCACAUCAGCUCUUGCUAGCUAGCUUACCCAAAUGCACAAAACCCGUCUUAAUCAUAUAUCCACUUGUUGCACUCAUUCAUUUUCUUAACCUUUGAUUAACAAUAACGAACAACUAUUGCCCACACAAAUAUGAGCUACUGAUACAAAAUCCUUCUCAUGAUUUACUGAUGUACAAGUUCCCAUCGUAGUCAGGAUUGUCAACUAGUCUUAUAUGAAAUUUGUGAGGAUUUCUUCCUUGAUUUUGUGUGGCUAGCUGGAGUUAGGAGGUAUCAAAUUAUGUCACUCCAAGGCUAUUUAGCUAUGAGCCUAUG